rnacentral:tRNA from 1 species
GGGGAUUUGGCUCAGUGGUAGAGCGCUUGCCUAGGAAGCGCAAGGUCCUGGGUUCAAUCUCAGCCCCG